rnacentral:rRNA from 1 species
AUUGAACGCUGGCGGCAGGCUUAACACAUGCAAGUCGAGCGGAGAUGAGGUGCUUGCACCUUAUCUUAGCGGCGGACGGGUGAGUAAUGCUUAGGAAUCUGCCUAUUAGUGGGGGACAACAUUCCGAAAGGAAUGCUAAUACCGCAUACGUCCUACGGGAGAAAGCAGGGGAUCUUCGGACCUUGCGCUAAUAGAUGAGCCUAAGUCGGAUUAGCUAGUUGGUGGGGUAACGGCCUACCAAGGCGACGAUCUGUAGCGGGUCUGAGAGGAUGAUCCGCCACACUGGGACUGAGAAACGGCACAGACUCCUACGGGAGGCUGCAGUGGGGAAUAUUGGACAAUGGGGGGAACCCUGAUCCAGCCAUGCCGCGUGUGUGAAGAAGGCCUUAUGGUUGUAAAGCACUUUAAGCGAGGAGGAGGCUACUGAGACUAAUACUCUUGGAUAGUGGACGUUACUCGCAGAAUAAGCACCGGCUAACUCUGUGCCAGCAGCCGCCGUAACAC